AUUGAACGCUGGCGGAAUGCUUUACACAUGCAAGUCGAACGGCAGCACGGACUUCGGUCUGGUGGCGAGUGGCGAACGGGUGAGUAAUACAUCGGAACGUGCCCAGUCGUGGGGGAUAACGUAGCGAAAGCUACGCUAAUACCGCAUACGAUCUAAGGAUGAAAGCGGGGGAUCGCAAGACCUCGCGCGAUUGGAGCGGCCGAUGGCAGAUUAGGUAGUUGGUAGGGUAAAGGCCUACCAAGCCGCCGAUCUGUAGCUGGUCUGAGAGGAUGAUCAGCCACACUGGAACUGGGACACGGCCCAGACUCCUACGGGAGGCAGCAGUGGGGAAGUUUGGACAAUGGGCGCAAGCCUGAUCCAGCCAUUCCGCGUGCAGGAUGAAGGCCUUCGGGUUGUAAACUGCUUUUGUACAGAACGAAAAGGCUCUGGUUAAUACCCGGGGCUCAUGACGGUACUGUAAGAAUAAGCACCGGCUAACUACGUGCCAGCCGCCGCGGUAAGAC
rnacentral:rRNA from 1 species